UUAAAAGUAGUUAAUAAAUAAUGUUAGUUUGUCAAACUAAAGUAGGCAAUAAUGCCCUUUUACA
rnacentral:tRNA from 1 species